UACGAAGGGGGGCUAGCGUUGCUCGGAAUCACUGGGCGUAAAGGGUGCGUAGGCGGGUCUUUAAGUCAGGGGUGAAAUCCUGGAGCUCAACUCCAGAACUGCCUUUGAUACUGAGGAUCUUGAGUUCGGGAGAGGUGAGUGGAACUGCGAGUGUAGAGGUGAAAAUUCGUAGAUAUUCGCAAGAACACCAGUGGCGAAGGCGGCUCACUGGCCCGAUACUGACGCUG
rnacentral:rRNA from 1 species